rnacentral:snoRNA from 1 species
ACGACCUUACUUGAACAGGAUCUAUUCUAUAGGCUCGUACCAUUGUAUCCUUGAGUUAUAAGGAGACAGAAAACCAAGUCUGGUUGAUGAGGCGUGGCUAUGUGACUAGAACGUGAUUAACAAUUGACCAUGGUUACUUGUGAUCUAGGAAGCAGUAGAUGAUCAUUCUCAGCUCUGCUUUGCAGGCUUAGGAUGGGAUGGUCACAUAGCUGUCUGACAGACU